UAUAGGGUUGUUCCAGUUUACUCCUCUGCUGUGCACGGAGUAUAUGGUUGCGCUGCUGUUUGGUAUUGAGGUUCUUUCUUCGCGUUGUGCUUGCCGAGUCUCUCAGAUAGCUAUAUGAGUUACACAUGGUCUAUUUUCGCUGCACCAAACUAGAUGGACGAAGCUAGAUGGUCCAGAUUAUCCUUCAGCUCUGUGCCAGGGCCUUGUACUUAAGCUUAUUAUGAUAGCAUCAACGCUGCCUUAUAAUGAUGUUUUUUGUCAUAGU